rnacentral:pre_miRNA from 1 species
GGCUGUGAUAUUGUCCUGUCACAGCAGUACUGAUCACAGAGCCUACUGCUGUUUCAGGACAUUGCCACAGAC